UAACGCGUGAGUAACCUGCCUUCAAGAGGGGGAUAACAUUCUGAAAAGAAUGCUAAUACCGCAUGACAUAUCGGAACCACAUGGUUCUGAUAUCAAAGAUUUUAUCGCUUGAAGAUGGACUCGCGUCCGAUUAGUUAGUUGGUGAGGUAACGGCUCACCAAGACCGCGAUCGGUAGCCGGACUGAGAGGUUGAACGGCCACAUUGGGACUGAGACACGGCCCAGACUCCUACGGGAGGCAGCAGUGGGGGAUAUUGCGCAAUGGGGGCAACCCUGACGCAGCAACGCCGCGUGAAGGAUGAAGGUUUUCGGAUUGUAAACUUCUUUUAUUAAGGACGAAACUUGACGGUACUUAAUGAAUAAGCUCCGGCUAACUACGUGCCAGCAGCCGCGGUAAUACGUAGGGAGCAAGCGUUGUCCGGAUUUACUGGGUGUAAAGGGUGCGUAGGCGGCUUUGCAAGUCAGAUGUGAAAUCUAUGGGCUCAACCCAUAAACUGCAUUUGAAACUGUAGAGCUUGAGUGAAGUAGAGGCAGGCGGAAUUCCCCGUGUAGCGGUGAAAUGCGUAGAGAUGGGGAGGAACACCAGUGGCGAAGGCGGCCUGCUGGGCUUUAACUGACGCUGAGGCACGAAAGCGUGAGUAGCAAACAGGAUUAGAUACCCUGGUAGUCCACGCUGUAAACGAUGAUUACUAGGUGU
rnacentral:rRNA from 1 species